rnacentral:tRNA from 6 species
GGCCCUAUCGUCUAGUCCGGUCUAGGACAUCUGCUUCUCAGGCAGAAGACCGGGGUUCAAAUCCCCGUGGGGCUA